AAAGUUUUAGUAUAAUUUUAGUAUUUCUUAUUGUCAAUAAGUAGGUUAAAACUUUAU
rnacentral:tRNA from 1 species